rnacentral:rRNA from 1 species
CUAAGCAUAUCAAUAAGCGGAGGAAAAGAAACCAACAGGGAUUGCCCUAGUAACGGCGAGUGAAGCGGCAACAGCUCAAAAUUUGAAAUCUGGCCUCGGGCCCGAGUUGUAAUUUGCAGAGGAUGCCUCUGGCGCGGUGCCUUCCGAGUUCCCUGGAACGGGACGCCACAGAGGGUGAGAGCCCCGUAUGGUCGGACAUCAAGCCUGUGUGAAGCUCCUUCGACGAGUCGAGUAGUUUGGGAAUGCUGCUCUAAAUGGGAGGUAAAUCUCUUCUAAAGCUAAAUACCGGCCAGAGACCGAUAGCGCACAAGUAGAGUGAUCGAAAGAUGAAAAGCACCUUGAAAAGGGGGUUAAAUAGUACGUGAAAUUGUUGAAAGGGAAGCACUUAUGACCAGACUUGGGCCGGGCGGCUCAUCAGGGGUUCUCCCCUGUGCACUCCGCCCGGCACAGGCCAGCAUCGGUUCUCGUGGGGGGAUAAGACCGUCAGGAACGUAGCACUCUCCGGAGUGUGUUAUAGCCUGGCGGACGAUACCCCCGUGGGGACCGAGGUCCGCGCAUUGCAAGGAUGCUGGCGUAAUGGUCAUCAGUGACCCGUCUUGAAACACGGACCAAGGAGUCGUCCAUUAGAGCGAGCGUUUGGGUGUAAAACCCGCACGCGUAAUGAAAGUGAACGCAGGUGAGAGCUUCGGCGCAUCAUCGACCGAUCCUGAUGUUCUCGGAAGGAUUUGAGUAAGAGUUUUAACGGACGGACCCGAAAGACAGUGAACUAUGCUUGAAUAGGGUGAAGCCAGAGGAAACUCUGGUGGAGGCUCGCAGCGGUUCUGACGUGCAAAUCGAUCGUCAAAUUUGAGCAUGGGGGCGAAAGACUAAUCGAACUGUCUAGUAGCUGGUUACCGCCGAA